rnacentral:sRNA from 1 species
UAUGCAUUCGAACUACAUACGUAUACAAGUACAACGGAUAUUAUUGAUGAUCUUUUUUGUACCGUUAAUGACCAUUACCGCUGUUAACCAACAGCUCCUCAAACUCUCCAACGCCAGGGAUGUUCCAGCCAUCUCCAUUCCUCUUUGGAGCGGCCCAGGCUCCAAUCUUCUCUGCCAGGGUCUUGGGACCGAAACCGAAGUGCUCGAACAGUACAGAGUAAGGAGCAGAGUGGCCGAAGCCUGUCAUAUGAGCGCCUGCAUGGGCGUAUUUGGCCCAACCGAACGAGGCGUAGGGCUCGAUAGAUACGACGAGGGACUUGGUAGAGGGGAUGACGGAUCGUCUGUACUCAAGCGGUUGUGCGUCGAAUCGACCGGUGUGAGGCAUCGAUACGACUCUUACAGAGUACUUGCCCUUCAACAGCUCGGCUGUAUCAACCGCACGCGCAACCUCGGAACCAGUGGCGACGAGGGUGAUAUCGGGGAUGCUGUUCUCGUCGCCGUAGACGACGUAUCCACCGUAUUGUACCUUGUUUCGGUCUGUACCUGCAAGAAGAGGUACUGGCUGUCGAGUGAGCGAAAGCAAACUGGGGUGGUCGACGUCCCUGAGACCCAAGAUCCAAGCGCCGAUCACUUCCUCAGCGUCUGCAGGUCGGAUGUAGUUGAAAUUGGGGAGGGCACGGAGGAAAAGAGGGAAAGCGAUUGGCUGGUGGGUAGGUCCGUCCUCGCCGACACCGAUGGAGUCGUGAGUGGCAACGGCGAUGAAUCGGAGCUUCAUCAAAGCGGCCAUUCGGAGCGAAGGAGCGGCGUAAAGCCAGAAGAUGAAGUAAGUCGACAUGAUGCUGUUGGCACGAAGUCAGUAAUAGCAAUAUAUUGUUCUGACAGAAGCUAGAUCACUCACGGGACGAUGGCACCCUUGUGCCAAGCGGCGAGACCGUUAGCGGCAGCCACCAUGGCAUGCUCUCGGAUACCGUAACGGAUCUGUCGACCAGAAUAAUCACCAUAACCGGACUCGGGAUUUUGGAACUCGAUCAUUCCGUCCCAGUUGACGAACGUCGACUCGCACAAAUCAGCACUUCCGACCAAGAAUGACUUGUCCUCUGGGACGACCGAUCGAAGUGCGAUACCGCUGCUCUGCCUGGUAGCUUUGGGGUCUUUGGGAAGGGCAUCCUUGGAAGGGAACUUAUUCUCCCAAUCCUUUUCAAGCUUUCCGUCCAAUCGCCUUUGGAAUUCUGCCGCUUCGGCCGGGAAAGACUCCUUGUAGCGCUUGAAAAGGUCAUUCCAUUCCUGCUCGUAUUGGGCGCCCUUGGUCUUGGUCUCCUUGAAGUAGUCGUAGACGGCGUCGGGCACGAUGAACUUGUCCUUGGGGUCAAAGCCGAAGGCGGUCUUGAGUCGAGCGACGUCAUCCUCACCCAAAGCUGCACCAUGUACUUUGCCACUGUUCUGAUUGAGGGAGCCGAUACCGAUGAUGGUCUUGAUGUUGAUGAAGACGGGCUUGCCGGUGAGCUUCUGAGCCUGCUCGAAAGCGUCGACAAUCGCGGCGAGGUCAUUGGAUCCGUCCUCGACCUCGAGAACGUGCCAGCCAAGACUCUUGAGCUUGGCAGAAGUGUCAUCAGUGAAACAGAUAUCAAUGUUACCGUCCACUGUGACGGAGUUAUUGUCGUAUACAAGGAUCAUGUUGUCAAGACCCCAAUGUCCUGCCAUGGAGAGGGCUACAAGCUGCUGGUCAGUUUGGCCCAUGCAGACGUUCUUUCAACUAACCUUCCUGACCGACACCCUCCUGCAGACAGCCGUCACCGGUGAAACACCAGACCUUGUUCUGGAUAAUCGGAAAUCCGUCUUUGUUGUAAGUAGCUGCCAUAUUCUUGUUGGCGAUGGCGAGUCCGACAGCGUUGGCAACACCUUGACCGAGAAGACCGGUGGUCAAUUCAACACCUGGAAACUCGAUCUCAGGAUGGCCAGCAGCAAUGCCGUCCAUGGUAGGAGCAUGGUAUUUCUUGAUCUGGUCGAGGGUCCAAGAAGAGUAUCCAGAAAGGUGAAGCAUGAUGUAUUGAAGCAGACACGCAUGGCCAGCAGAAAGUACGAAUCCUAUAGAUUCCGAAGUGGUCAAUCACCCAUCGCCAGACUCCUUGGCUAAAAGCCUACAUGCCCAAACAAAAUCAGAACUCACGAUCUCGGUUGAUCCAGUCAGGAUUAGCAGGGUUAUAUCGCAUGCUGUAUUUCCAAAGCGCAGUGGCGAUGGCAGCCGCUCCCAUAACUGUGCCGGGAUGACCCCCCUUGUACUGUUUCAUUCACUUUUCGUCAACCUAUAUUCCCCAUGAAUUAUUCUGGCGAGCAAUAGAAGAGUUUAUUCACCUGCUGACACAGAUCGGCGGCCAAACAUCGGAUGGUGUUGAUCACGAGCUUCUCGGUUCCGACCUCUGAAGACUUGACGUGGGGGUUCUUGCUGAGCGUUGUGCCGUGAGAGGCAGAGUCGUCAUGUUUGCUUACAGCUACAGGUGACAUGGUGAUGAGAUGAAGCCUGUUUUUCCUUAGUGUGGAAUGCCCACUUACUUUAUACUUCGACUAUCACGUCGUCUUUGCGAAGCGUUUGGCACCAGAUCAACAGACUUCGGGCCGAAGAUUCUAAGUUAUCAAUCUAGAUAGCCCCGAGCAUCUCUCCGGUGACCUUCGGCCCCGCGGGGUAGCCGGCACAAUAAAUGCAUAAUUGACUAAUAGGG